UCUACCGACCAAACUCUCUCCCUUCUCUCUACACUAAUUUCCCUUCUUCUCUCCUUUCUCUCUCACAAGUCGUCGGCCUUUCUUCCCCUUUUUGACUUCGCAGCCGCCGACCACCCCAAAGAAAUCGAUCUCCCUCUUUCACUCACUCUUCUCUUACUGACGACCCUUCUUCCCCUUUUUGACUUUGCAACCGUCGGCCACCCCAAAGAAACCGAUCUCCCUCUUUCACUCACUAUUCUCUUACCGGCGGCUCAAAAAGCCUUUUUUACCUACGAUUUUUGGUUUUUCUUUUUGGGUUUGAUUGUGAAUUUUUUGGCUGUUAGGAAGCUUGCUAGAGAUUUUUUUUGAUUGCUUGUUCUUGUGGCUAGGGAUUUUUGGCUACUAGAGAUUAGGGAUCCUUUUUUAUUAUUUUCAGGUGGCUCCUCUUUUUCGGCUACUGUUUGUUGCUAGGAUUUUCUAAGAAUUUUUUUGAUUUUUUUUUGGCUCCCUCGUUUGGUGAAUCUGCCUUCAUUUUAAAAGAUCUGGAUUGUCCAAAAUUUUGGACAAUCUUAAGAGUGCAAUCAUGUGAUUUCACAAGGCUCCUAGCACAAGCAAGCCUGGGACAGGAAAUAGGUGUCUACAAAUAUUACAGAAUUAUUGGGUGAAUUCAUAUGCAUGAACGAAAAAAUUUAAUCAAGGUGCAAGGGGAGCAAAAUGAAGGUUAUAUGUCAGACACCUAUGAAGCUCCAUUCUCUAGACAAGAACUUUCGUGGUAGCAGAAAGAAGCAAGAGAAGAACGCUGAAGAGGAACAGUCCUAUGACAUUAUGGCAGCUGGAGGAAAAAAGUUUAGUAUUGGUGAAAAUGAUCCUCGAGGGAAUGAAGCAUGUAGAAUGCAUGUCUUGCCUGUUGACACUUGGGAUCCUAGUGGUCUUAUUUUAUAUUAUAGAUUUUAAAAGAUAUAUAUAUAUAAGACCAGAGCAAAUAUUCCUUUCAAUCAUAAUAAUAUCAAUCCAAUCGCCAUAAUCCUU